rnacentral:lncRNA from 1 species
CCGAAAAUUAUAUUUCCAGGUAAAACGGCCAUGGAGGCUAACUCAGCAAAGUUGGAUGACUAUGGAAGAUAAUAGGCAAAAGUGAAUGACUUUUUAAAGACAGCAUUUCAACAGAACUUGCCUACGUUCCAAAUUCUCUGAUGAAAGCAAAGCAGUUUAUAAUUCUUGGACAACAGAGAAGAAAAAAAGGGAAAAUCUUGAUUCUAACCUGCUAUCAACAAUUGGUCAUGCACACUACCCAAAUAUAAAAUUGGGCACAUGAAUCUGAAUUGAACUUUUCGGUUUUUUAAUCAAAUAAAUAAGAUAAAGAGUUAUUAACAGUGGGCACAAAAAUGCCCGUAUAUGAGGAGAAUACCAACAAAAAAGUUUCUACAAAUAUUCUAUACCUACCAAAACCUCAUCAGUGCACCAAAAGGCAAUAAGUUAUUAGGGGCUGGGCUAUUCCUCAAUUGAACAAAAUCCCUUACUGUUUACCUAUUUCUUUCUAUGCAUACAACCCAUUUAAGGUCAAGUCGAGCAACAUCUCACAUCCAUCAGCUAUGCAAUACUUCUUUUACAGGGCCUCACAUCACCGACUGUAUAUGAUUGAAGUUCAAAACUACUCGGUUCUUGCACGUUUUGACUGUGCUUGCUUCAUCCAAUCAAGGCAUUCUUCAGCAGAACCAGAAGGGUGUGCGAGCUUCCACUCCAACAAUUUUUGUUGCUGC